rnacentral:rRNA from 1 species
UACGAAGGUCCCAAGCGUUGUUCGGAAUCACUGGGCGUAAAGGGAGCGUAGGCGGCGUGGUAAGUCAGAUGUGAAAUCCCGGGGCUCAACCCCGGAACUGCAUCCGAUACUGCCGUGCUUGAGGGUUGGAGAGGUAGCUGGAAUUCUCGGUGUAGCAGUGAAAUGCGUGGAUAUCGAGAGGAACACUCGUGGCGAAGGCGAGCUACUGGACAACAUCUGACGCUGAGGCUCGAAGGCUAGGGGAGCAAAAGGG